AACAUAAUGCAACUAGCACAAUCUAAUAAUCACCACCACCACCACCACUAAACCCAGCUUUCUUGUACAAAGAAAGCCUAAGGUUUCCUGAGCAAGGUCAAUCCGCUCAGGGUUAGUCGGUCCCUAAGGCGAGGCCGAACGGCGUAGUCGAUGGGAAGCAGGUUAACAUUCCUGCACCACUCUGUCCUCGUUAUCACGAUGGGGUGACGCAGAAGGAUAGGUCGGGCUGCGAUUGGAAGUGCAGCUUGAAGCGUGUAGGCGGGGGUAGCAGGCAAAUCCACUACCCCAUACGCCGAGACGUGAUCUCGGGGCCGUAUGGCUCGUAGCGACUGAUUCCACGCUGCCGAGAAAAACCUCUAAGGAGAGGGCGGGGUGACCGUACCGGAAACGGACACACGUAGGCUGGGAGAGUAUCCCAAGGCGCUUGAGUGAUCCCCCGUGAAGGAACUAGGCAAAAUGACACCGUAACUUCGGGAGAAGGUGUGCUCUUUGCCGUGUAGAUCCUCGCGGUUGAAGCGGUGGGGAGUCGCAGUGAAGUGGCCCAGGCGACUGUUUAAUAAAAACACAGCACUCUGCAAACGUCACAAGCGGACGUAUAGGGUGUGAAGCCUGCCCGGUGCCGGAAGGUUAAGGGGAGGGGUCAGCGCAAGCGAAGCUCUGAACUGAAGCCCCGGUAAACGGCGGCCGUAACUAUAACGGUCCUAAGGUAGCGAAAUUCCCUGUCGGGUAAGUUCCGACCUGCACGAAAGGCGAAACAUCUGGGCGCUGUCUCCACGGGGGGCUCAGCGAAUCUGUAGUACCGGUGAAGAUGCCGGUUUCCCGCACCUAGACGGAUAGACCCUGUGCACCUUUACUACAACUUGUCACUGGAUCUUGGCGCUGUAUGUGCAGGAUAGGUGGGAGGCUGUGAAGUCGGGGCGUUAGCCUCGAUGGAGCCGUCGGUGAGAUACCACCCUUACUGCUCUGAGGUUCUAACCUGGAGCCGUGAAUCCGGCUCGGGGUCACUGGCAGGCGGGUAGUUUGACUGGGGCGGUCGCCUCACAAACUGUAACUGAGGCGCCCAAAGGUUCCCUCAGGCUGAUUGGAAACCAGCCGGAGAGUGCAAAGGCACAAGGGAGCUUGACUGCGAGACCAACAAGUCGAGCAGGGACGAAAGUCGGGCUUAGUGAUCCGGCGAUCCCGUAUGGAAGGGUCGUCGCUCAACGGAUAAAAGGUACGCCCGGGAUAACAGGCUGAUCCUGCCCAAGAGUUCACAUCGACGGCGGGGUUUGGCACCUCGAUGUCGGCUCAUCGCAUCCUGGGGCUGAAGCAGGUCCCAAGGGUUCGGCUGUUCGCCGAUUAAAGCGGUACGUGAGCUGGGUUUAGAACGUCGCGAGACAGUUCGGUCCCUAUCUGGUGUGGGCGGAGGACACUUGAGAAGAGCUGUCCUUAGUACGAGAGGACCAGGACGGACGGACCUCCAGUAUGCCAGUUGUCGCGCCAGCGGCAGCGCUGGGUAGCUGUGUCCGGAUUGGAUAACCGCUGAAUGCAUCUAAGCGGGAAGCCAACUUCAAGAUUAGGUGUCCCGGGCACAAGCCCCUAAAGGCCCCUGGUAGAUGACCAGGUUGAUAGGCGGGAGGUGGAAGCGCGGCGACGCGUGUAGCUGACCCGUACUAAUCGGCCGUGCGGCUUGACCGC
rnacentral:rRNA from 1 species